CCAGCAGGGGCACACUGACACCUCACACGGCAGGGUAUUCCAACAGACCUGCAGCUGAGGGUCCUGUCUGUUAGAAGGAAAACUAACAAACAGAAUGGACAUCCACACCAAAAACCCAUCUGUACAUCACCAUCAUCAAAGACCAAAAGUAGAUAAAACCACAAAGAUGGGGAAAAAACAGAACAGAAAAACUGGAAACUCUAAAACGCAGAGCGCCUCUCCUCCUCCAAAGGAACGCAGUUCCUCACCAGCAACGGAACAAAGCUGGAUGGAGAAUGACUUUGAUCAGCUGAGAGAAGAAGGCUUCAGACGAUCAAAUUACUCUGAGCUACGGGAGGACAUUCAAACCAAAGGCAAAGAAGUUGAAAACUUUGAAAAAAAUUUAGAAGAAUGUAUAACUAGAAUAACCAAUACAGAGAAGUGCUUAAAGGAGCUGAUGGAGCUGAAAACCAAGGCUCGAGAACUACAUGAAGAAUGCAGAAGCCUCAGGAGCCGAUGCAAUCAACUGGAAGAAAGGGUAUCAGCGAUGGAAGAUGAAAUAAAUGAAAUGAAGCGAGAAGGGAAGUUUAGAGAAAAAAGAAUAAAAAGAAAUGAGCAAAGCCUCCAAGAAAUAUGGGACUAUGUGAAAAGACCAAAUCUACGUCUGAUUGGUAUACCUGAAAGUGAUGGGGAGAAUGGAACCAAGUUGGAAAACACUCUGCAGGAUAUUAUCCAGGAGAACUUCCCCAAUCUAGCAAGGCAGGCCAACGUUCAGAUUCAGGAAAUACAGAGAAUGCCACAAAGAUACUCCUCGAGAAGAGCAACUCCAAGACACAUAAUUGUCAGAUUCACCAGAGUUGAAAUGAAGGAAAAAAUGUUAAGGGCAGCCAGAGAGAAAGGUUGGGUUACCCUCAAAGGGAAACCCAUCAGACUAACAGCGGAUCUCUCAGCAGAAACCCUACAAGCCAGAAGAGAGUGGGGGCCAAUAUUCAACAUUCUUAAAGAAAAGAAUUUUCAACCCAGAAUUUCAUAUCCAGCCAAACUAAGCUUCAUAAGUGAAGGAGAAAUAAAAUACUUUACAGACAAGCAAAUGCUGAGAGAUUUUGUCACCACCAGGCCUGCCCUAAAAGAGCUCCUGAAGGAAGCGCUAAACAUGGAAAGGAACAACCGGUACCAGCCGCUGCAAAAUCAUGCCAAAAUAUACAGACCAUCGAGACUAGGAAGAAACUGCAUCAACUAACGAGCAAAAUCACCAGCUAACAUCAUAAUUACAGGAUCAAAUUCACACACAACAAUAUUAACCUUAAAUGUAAAUGGACUAAAUGCUCCAAUUAAAAGACACAGACUGGCAAAUUG
rnacentral:lncRNA from 1 species